UACGGAGGGAGCGAGCGUUGUCCGAAGUUACUGGGCGUAAAGCGCGCGUAGGCGGGGAAUUAAGUGAGAAGUGAAAGGCUGGGGCUCAACCUCAUGCAGUGCUCCUCAUACUGGUUCUCUUGAGGGCGGUAGGGAGAAGUGGAAUGGCUGGUGUAGCGGUGAAAUGCGUAGAGAUCAGGAAGAACACCGGUGGCGAAAGCGCUCUGCUGGACCUUAACUGACACUGAGGGACGAAAGCUAGGGGAGCGAAUGGG
rnacentral:rRNA from 1 species